rnacentral:snRNA from 1 species
AUCCUAGUGCAAGGGCUUGACGCGUAUCAGUGAGGAGACAUCCGAGAUCGUGUUUUUGCUAGUUGAAAACUACCAACUUGACUGCUUCAAGUGAGCCUUCGGGCUCGCUUGGGAAUUUUUGAAACAUGCUUAC